GGAGAUUCACGUCUUCUCGCGGGUUCGACGCAUCCAUUCCUCUUCGACGACCCUGCCCCCGUUCGGACUCGUCCGGUGCGUGGCGGUGGGGUUGCAGAGGGUGGUGUGGAGGCCCGCGGCGGACCGCACUUCUCCCUUAGUAGGACGUCGUGACCCGUCCGGUCAUGGUCAUAAGGGUGCAGGGUGGAGCCUGGCCGAUCGUGCUUGCACGUCUUCGGUCAGACCCCCGCGCCCCGGCCAUGAAUUUCGGUCGGUAUCGAAUGACAGUGUUAGGUCACUUACCGGGGGAGGCAACUCCUUCCAGUGAGUGCGUGUGGCUCUCGACAAGGUGCUGGGAUGUCGGUCAAGGCGGGCUCCCGUCCGUCUGGCCCCGCUCGGCCCUGUUGGUCUUGCUGCUCUCACGCUGGCCUAUCUACACUCGUCUACGGCGAAUCAGUUUUGGGCUCUUGUCCGACCCGUCUUGAAACACGGACCAAGGAGUUCAGCGUGUACGCGAGUCAUUGGGUGGUAAAACCCAAAGGCGUAAUGAAAGUGAAGGGAACUUUACGUUUCUGAGGGAGGAUGAGUCGGUUACCCGCAACGGGGCUGCUCCGCACUCCCGGGGCGUCUCUUUCUCAUUGCGAGUGGAGGCGCACCCAGAGCGUACACGCUGAUACCCGAAAGAUGGUGAACUAUGCCUGGCCAGGACGAAGCCAGGGGAAACCCUGGUGGAGGUCCGCAGCGAUUCUGACGUGCAAAUCGAUCGUCGGAGCUGGGUAUAGGGGCGAAAGACCAAUCGAACCAUCCGGGGGCUCGGAUCAGAGUGCCAAGUGGGCCAAUUUUGGUAAGCAGAACUGGCGCUGUGGGAUGAACCAAACGUCGAGUUAAGGCGCCCAAAUCGACGCUCAUGUGAAACCAUGAAAGGCGUUGGUUGCUUAAGACAGCAGGACGGUGGCCAUGGAAGUCGGAAUCCGCUAAGGAGUGUGUAACAACUCACCUGCCGAAGCAACUAGCCCUGAAAAUGGAUGGCGCUGUAGCGUCGUGCCUAUACUCGACCGUCAACGGCAAAGAUGGCUGGCGGGCAACCGUCGGCCGUUACGCCUUGACGAGUAGGAGGGCCGCGGCGGCGUGCGUAGAAGGGUCUGGGCGCGAGCCUGCCUGGAGCCGCCGUCGGUGCAGAUCUUGGUGGUAGUAGCAAAUACUCCAGCGAGGCCCUGGAGGACUGAUGUGGAGAAGGGUUUCUUGUGAACAGCUGUUGCACAAGAGUCAGUCGGUCCUAAGCCCUAGGAGAAAUCCGAAGCGAUGGGUUGCCGUUAAUGUCAUCAAACAACAUGAAGGCACCCGUUUGGGCGAAAGGGAAUCCGGUUCCUAUUCCGGAACCUGGCAGUGGAACCGUUCCAAUUCGGGCCCUCUGAGGACUCGUCAGGGCAACCUGAAUAGACCCGGAGACGCCGACAGGAGGUUGGGGGAGAGUUGUCUCUUCUCUAUAAGCGAUCGAGUUCCCUGGAAACUUCUAGCAAGGAGAUAGGGUUUGGAUCGCGAAGAGCACUGCAGUUACGGCAGUGUCCCAAUCUUCCUCUCGGGACCUUGAAAAUCCGGGUGAGGGCCACGAGGAACCACACGCCAGAACGUACCCCUAUUCGCAGCAGGUCUCCACGGUGGCAAGACCUCUAUUCGAUAGAAUAAUGUAAGUAAAGGGAAAGUC
rnacentral:rRNA from 1 species